AUGGCUUUUCAAGCUCUCUUCUCCAUGGAGGUAUUGCCGCAAAGCUUCUUUCUACCGCAUGAUCUGAAGAUUGAGGCACACCAGAAGGAUAUUGUUGAAGAUAAGCAGAACACAGAUGAGAAAGAUGGAAAUGCAUUGCUGUUGAAUCUCAACAGCAAGACAUGGGAAUGUUGUAUUAGCCAACAUGAAGUGGAGAAAAAUGUAUUGCCUAGAUGUGAAUACAGUGGGGAGGAUGGGCUGCUGACAAUUGGGCUUGGACAUGGAAAGAUAAAGGCUCAUCGAACGGGAUUUAAACCCUACAAAAGAUGUUCAGCGGAGGCCAAGGAAAACAGGGCGGUGGCCAUCAGCAGCCAAGGUGAGGAGAAAAGCCCCAAAAGGAUACGCAUGGAAGGGCAAGCUUCAGUUUGAUAUCGCAUGCUUAAACAAAGAAACCUUUGUUUCUGCAUGUAAUUUAUUAUUUCCCCC
rnacentral:misc_RNA from 1 species